rnacentral:piRNA from 1 species
CCCCAUCAGAUCGACCAUGUUGA